rnacentral:rRNA from 1 species
AAUCAACGCUGGCGGCGUGCCUCAGACAUGCAAGUCGAACGAUUAAAGCUCUCUUCGGAGAGUGUAUAGAGUGGCGCACGGGUGAGUAACACGUAAGUAAUCUACCUUCGAGUGGGGAAUAACCCGGGGAACCCGAGCUAAUACCGCAUAAUGCAGCGGCACCUAAUGGUGACAGUUGUUAAAGGAGUAAUUCGCUUGAAGAGGAGCUUGCGGCAGAUUAGCUAGUUGGUAAGGUAAUAGGCUUACCAAGGCUACGAUCUGUAACCGGUCUAAGAGGACGGUCGGUCACACUGACACUGAAUAACGGGUCAGACUCCUACGGGAGGC